rnacentral:rRNA from 1 species
GAUGAACGCUAGCGGCAGGCUUAACACAUGCAAGUCGAGGGGUAGAGGAAGCUUGCUUCCUUGAGACCGGCGCACGGGUGCGUAACGCGUAUGCAAUCUACCUUAUACAGGGGGAUAGCCCAGAGAAAUUUGGAUUAAUACCCCAUAGUAUAAUUGAAUGGCAUCAUUUAAUUAUUAAAGUUCCAACGGUAUAAGAUGAGCAUGCGUCCAUUAGCUAGUUGGUGUGGUAACGGCACACCAAGGCGACGAUGGUAGGGUCCUGAGAGGAGAUCCCCACACUGGUACUGAGACACGGACCAGACUCCUACGGGAGGCAGCAGUGAGGAAUAUUGGUCAAUGGGCGCAAGCCUGAACCAGCCAUGCCGCGUGCAGGAUGACGGUCCAUGGAUUGUAAAACUGCUUUUGUACAGGAAGAAAC